rnacentral:lncRNA from 1 species
UGUUCUAUUAUAAUCUCCACCCGGCACAGCCAGAAGAGGACUGGCCACCCCACAUAGCCUGGUUCCUCUCUAGGUUUCUUCCUAGGUUUUGGCCUUUCUAGGGAGUUUUUCCUAGCCAACGUGCUUCAACACCUGCAUUGCUUUCUGUUUGGGGUUUUAGGCUGGGUUUCUGUACAGCACUUUGAGUUAUCAGCUGAUGUAAGAAGGGCUAUAUUAAUACAUUUGAUUUGAUUUGACAUAAUAAUUUCGGGGGAUCACUUUAAUAACCGAAGCACUUGGAAGUUAUGCAUGACGUUAUGACAUUAGGCCUAUGUCAGAUAACAAAAUAGCAGCCUACAGUGUUACUGCAUAAUUAAAGUUGUAAGUUACACAGUUACAUAGUUAACACUGUUAACUGGGUCGUUCAUAGUGAAUGAUAGCUUACAUUUCACAUGAAUAUACAAUUAUUAGCUAUUAAUAAAGGCCUAGACUGGGCGGCAGGUAGCCUAGUGGUUAGAGCGUUGCGCCAGUAACUGAAAGGUUAGGUUGCUGGAUCAAAUCCCCGAGCUGAUAAGGUAAAAUCUGUCAUUCUGCCCUUAAACAAGUCAGUUCACCCACUGUUCCCCGGUAGGCCAUCAUUGUAAAUAAGAAUUUGUUCUUAACUGACUUGCCUAGUUAAAUAAAAAAGAUGCGUUCCCUUUAAAUAUCCUUCGCUGCAGAUAAGGUGAGUAGUGGUAGGCUACACAGCGCGGGUGGAGAGAGCGCGUUUUCUCGCCCAUUCUCCAUCCCCUGUCUCUUUGUAUGCAUAGCAGUGCCCGACUGCAGGUUUGACUAAGCUUUGUAGAUACGGCUACACCAGGCUAAUGGCUGUACUGAUCAUUAGAAGGACUGAGACCUAGGGUAAUUAAAGCAUGCCUUACCCCCAACAAAGCAGAGAACAGAGAAAGUGAUGCAGAUGCCAAUGAUUCGGGAUCUGACACUGAGGAAUUGCAUAAUCUGUCUCUCAGUCCAGGAUGUUGCCACUGAGCACCAUAUGAGGACAGUUACCUUUGCGGCUGUCUGAUGCGGGCAACGUC